GGUCGCUUAGCUCAGCUGGGAGAGCACCUGCCUUACAAGCAGGGGGUCAGAGGUUCGAGCCCUCUAGCGACCA
rfam:Epulopiscium sp. Nele67-Bin005 Nele67M_MBin00216, whole genome shotgun sequence.